rnacentral:tRNA from 1 species
GCUCUGGUAGCCGAACUGGUAUAGGCACCCGCCUUAGAAGCGGUAAUUUGUGGGUUCGAAUCCCACCUAGAGUA